GGGGGCGUUUUGGCUUCGACAGGGUCGGUUCGUGUCGGAAGAGUGCAUGCCUGGGGUGGGGACGUGACCCGGUAUAAAUGCGUCUCAUCGCUUAUUUGGCAACGAAUUAGCACUAGCUGCUUAAUUAGAUUUAGGUAGCCGACAACCUUGAGAUCGCUGGUGUUUCUUGGAAGUCGUCAUUUAGCCAGCUUUGGUGUAAGACUUUCUGUUCGGAGGAAUUGCAUCGAGCCUUAAUCGAACUAUAGUAUGCUCAGCCUGGCUGUGGGCGUAGCAUACUAGAAUUUAAAUCACAAGCCUAAGCAUGUAGGACUCUCUGAACAUCGGCUCUGGACGCGGGUUCGAUCCCCGCCGCCUCCACCA
rnacentral:tmRNA from 1 species